rnacentral:lncRNA from 1 species
CAGAGGAGCGGUGGAGGGGUGAACUGAGCACCCACCAACGAGAAGAAGUGAGUUGUUUUCUGUGGACGUGGAAACGGAUCAAGCACAGGAACUACAUAGUCUCAGGGUCAAUGAUCAUUUUUCUUUGUGUGGAUUUUUUUCUGUUGGACUCCUUUUAGGCUCUUCACGGAGGCGUGCUCGUUCUUUUUUCCUUUUCAUAAAGUGUUUGGUGUGGUGGCUGUUCGCCUAAUGCUUUACUUCAACACCAACCAACACCAUUUAUCUCUUCUAGUUUCAAUGACAGAAUCAUUUAUAAACAAAGAUAAAAAAAACAUUUAGUUAUCGUGUUUAAGUUAAGUUAUAUGAGAUCAGUAACAGAGGGGUAAGACUAGACAAGUCUUUGACUUCUUCUUACUCCUUUUUUGGACAUUUGGAUACUCUGGUUUUGUUUUUGUUCUUAUUUUGUUGUGAUAAGUGAGAUUGAUGUGCUUCUAAGUGAGGCACUGAUUUUAUUCUUAACUGUUAUUUUGUGUGUUUUUUCAUAUACAUUUUUUAAACCAUGUCCAGAAAUAAAUAAAUAACUAGGACCCCGUUGGGGCACUGGCGGGCCCGAGCCGUGUCGCGUCCCCCUCCCAACGUGCUGCCUCCCUGUCCCAUUUGUGUCCUCUGGCCAUCGCCCUCUCUGGUAACGCCCAUCACUGCAAAGACCCUUUUCCUUCAUCGGCGUUUGCUGUUCUUCUUGCCAGUGCGUGUUGCUUUCACUUACACUUACCACAGCCAGCCUCGUGAGUGCCUAGCCUAUUGGAUAUCACUGUCACCUACACAGGACAGUCAUUACCUUUCUAUUAAUACUUUGUGUUUUAAUUUCACAUUAAUUUCCAUAUUGUAUAAACGACUGGAAAAAACUUGAGCCCCUGCCCCUGUAUAAUCAUGUGCAUGUCUCUGUUCUAGCUCCAAGGUGAAUCUUCACUGCUCAUGUUCUCCUCAGAAGCACUCACCUCACUCCCCUCAGGUUACUGUACACAUGCACCAACUGCCUGCUUCAGGUUUGGAUGGAGCUUCAUGGUUGUCUUUUGGAGAAAUGACCAGUCAAGUUGUGUUUGAAAUUUGAUUUUUUUCAGGGGCAAAAGGAGCCUCUGCAUUCUUGUCAAAUAUGUAAAUAGCAUGUUUUUGCAGGUGCUAAAAACCAGACUCUGAGUGUGUGUGUGUGUGUGUGUGUGUGUGUGUGUGUGUGUGUGUGUGUGUGUGUGCGUGUGUGUGUGUCUGUGUGUGCGUUCAAGUCACAUGACAUAUUUAACCGGAUGUAGCUGCAAGACGGAGCCUCGUUGACUCUCCGUUUCAACUUAUCUCAAAAGUGAGGACCUCAACCUAUAUACCAGUUUUUAAAUUGUGUUGAUAGGCCAAAUAAAACCAGAGUUAUGAUAAAUUAUGUCCGCGAUACUUUUUUUCUGCUUAUUUUGAUCACGUUCGGCGCUCGAUCGCACUGUAUGAGACAGGAAAACAUAGCAUGCAGACAUUAGCGACAGGUCUUAAAGGCGGAAAAGGCUUGCCAAAAGAAAAAAAAAACACACCACAACAUCUCUCCUAUUGGUGGAAAACUUCACCACAACAACCAAUCCAAAAUUAUAUGGUGACUGAUUGACAAGGGGCGGGCGCUUACGUUCUUCCUGCAACAUGAGAAGGGAGGGAGGGACUCUCAGCAGGGAUGCAGUCUGGGACACGUAGUUGCAAACCUAGCGACUUUGUUGUUAGAUUCAAUGACUUUUCAGACCCCCUAACGACUUUUUUUUAGAAAGAAAGGGACUUUUAUCGACUUCUUCUGGAGUUCAGAGACUCUGACAUGAAGCAGGCUUUCCUUACUGAGGAGUUAGCAACGCUGCUAAGGGUGCAGAGCCACACAUGCGCUCAGAGCUCUGCAUGGGAGACUGAAGCUGACAGAGCUGCAGCAGUUAGCAGGUUUCACCCUAAUAGACCACCAGUGGUUCAUGUUGAGGCAUUUUAAAUUUUUUUUUUUUGUGCCAUAGACACUGUCAGCACAAUCUGCAGUUACACUAACAAAAAUGCUGCAAAAAACAAAGAAUUAUGGAAAAAUUACACAUGGACUGACAUAGAGGAGGAUCUACACAAGUUUUUUACAUCAUGUUUUACAUCAUGCAUCAUUUACAUCAUGUUUUUUUGUAGUGGCAUAAAUAAAAAGUGACAUUUGUGAAACUAUACAGUGUUUUGUAAAUAAUUUUACAAAGAACGCCUGGGCCAUUGCCUGCAUUUUGAUGUAAAUAGAGGUAAAUCACUAUGUUCUUUGUUAAAAAUUUGCAUAUGUUUUGAAGUUUACAAUUUUUAUUUGAAGUUUAAGUUUUAAAAACAGUUCAUCACACAUAUUUGUGGUUUUCACAGUAAAAAUGUUACAUUUUUCCACUCGGAUUUUAUGUUUUGUGUGUGAAUUUGGGUCCAUUGUGUAAAUUCAGUAUGUCAACAUGAUAAAAUAAAUGUAAAUUCGCACAGGUGAGGUUGUGCUGAAAAAAAAUGAUACCAGGCAAGGCACGUGAUUGUCAAAUUUUGUGUCAAUAUGACAAAGCGUAUAGGCGUGAAUCUCAACAAUAUGUAUUUUCACCUUAGGGGACAAGAAAAAAUUGACUUUUUUCUCCUGCCAUGGGGGGGCGCUCUUUUGGGGAGUAAAAAUUCCUUCACAAAUGUGUUGAUGGCUGGACAUUGCAUCAUCCUAGAAAACUUGGAGGCCAGUGAGGACAAAAAUAAAAAGUUAUAAGACUUUUAAAUAUGUGGAUUUUAGGGUUAUCUUUGGCGCCCCCUAGAACCUAAACCGUGGGGUGCAGCGUCAUGAUUUGAAUAACUUUUAAUGGCCAUGGGGUGUUGAUUGGCCUGAGCAAAUGUGGUGCCGGUGGAACGAAAGCCUUAGGAGGAGUUAGCCACAUUCCAAUGUGUGCGGAUCGGCAAAAAAUGCGGAAUAACCCUUUAACCGUACAUUUGACAGAUACGCGCGCAUUGACUUUUUCGUAGAUCUUAUUGAGUUACAUGUGUGUGUCAAUUUUUGUGUCAUUUUGACAAAGCGUAUAGGCGUGACACUCAACAAUGUGUAUUUUCACCUUAGGGGACAAGAAAAAAUUGACUUUUUUCUCCUGCCAUGGGGGGGCCGCUCUUUUGGGGAGUAAAAAUUCCUUCACAAAUGUGUUGAUGGCUGGACAUUGCAUCAUCCUAGAAAACUUGGAGGCCAGUGAGGACAAAAAUAAAAAGUUAUAAGACUUUUAAAUAUGUGGAUUUUAGGGUUAUCUUUGGCGCCCCCUAGAACCUAAACCUUGGGGUGCAGCGUCAUGAUUUUGAUAACUUUUAAUGGCCACGGGGUGUAGAUUGGCCUGAGCAAAUGUGGUGCCGGUGGAACGAAAGCCUUCGGAGGAGUUAGCGAAAUUCCAAUGUGUGCGGAUCGGCAAAAAAUGCGAAAUAACCCUUUAACCGUAAUUUUGACAGAUACGGCCGCACUGACUUUUUUGUAGAUCUUAUUGAGAUACAUAUGUGUGUCAAUUUUUGUGUCAAUAUGACAAAGCGUACAGGCGUGACAGUCAAUAGUGUGAAUUUCCACCUUAGGGGGCGCUAUGGAGCCAUUUUGCAUUUUAUUGUUUGGGUGACUUCAGAAUAUCGAAUUUUUCACCAGGCCCGGUCGUCCUGCCAAAUUUCAUGAGUUUUCGCCAGUGGGAAGUGGGCCAUUUUCCAGUUCAAAGGGGAGGAAAAAGAAGAACUAGGACCCCGUUGGGGCACUGGCGGGCCCGAGCUGUGUCGCGUCCCCCCCCCCAACGCGCUGCCUCCCCGUCCCAUUCGCGUCCUCUGGCCGUCGCCCUCUCUGGUAACGCCCAUCACUGCAAAGACCCUUUUCCUUCAUCGGCGUUUGCUGUUCUUCCUGCCAGUGCGUGUUGCUUUCACUUACACUUGCCACAGCCAGCCUCGUGAGUGCCUAGCCUAUUGGAUAUCACUGUCACCUAAACAGGACAGUCAUUACCUUUCUAUUAAUACUUUGUUUUUUAAUUUCACAUUAAUUUCCAUAUUGUAUAAACAACUGGAAAAAACUUGAGCCCCUGCCCCUGUAUAAUCAUGUGCACGUCUCUGUUCUAGCUCCAAGGUGAAUCUUCACUGCUCAUGUUCUCCUCAGAAGCAGUCACCUCACUCCCCUCAGGUUACUGUACACAUGCACCAACUGCCUGCUUCAGGUUUGGAUGGAGCUUCAUGGUUGUCUUUUGGAGAAAUGACCAGUCAAGUUGUGUUUGAAAUUUGAUUUUUUUCAGGGGCAAAAGGAGCCUCUGCAUUCUUGUCAAAUAUGUAAAUAGCAUGUUUUUGCAGGUGCUAAAAACCAGACUCUGAGUGUGUGCGUGUGUGUGUGUGUCUGUGUGUGUGUGUGUGUGUGUGUGCGUUCAAGUCACAUGACAUAUUUAACCGGAUGUAGCUGCAAGACGGAGCCUCGUUGACUCUCCGUUUCAAUUUAUCUCAAAAGUGAGGACCUCAACCUAUAUACCAGUUUUUAAAUUGUGUUGAUAGGCCAAAUAAAACCAGAGUUAUGAUAAAUUAUGUCCGCGAUACUUGUUUUCUGCUUAUUUUGAUCACGUUCGGCGCUCGAUCGCGCUGUAUGAGACAGGAAAACAUAGCAUGCAGACAUUAGCGACAGGUCUUACAGGCGGAAAAGGCUUGCCAAAGGAAAAAAAAAACACACCACAACAUCUCUCCUAUUGGUGGAAAACUUCACCACAACAACCAAUCCAAAAUUAUAUGGUGACUGAUUGACAAGGGGCGGGAACUUACGUUCUUCCUGCAAUAUGAGAAGGGAGGGAGGGACUCUCAGCAGGGAUGCAGUCUGGGACACGUAGUUGCAAACCUAGCGACUUUGUUGUUAGAUUCAAUGACUUUUCAGACCCCCUAACGACUUUUUUUUAGAAAGAAAGUGACUUUUAUCGACUUCUUCUGGAGUUUAGAGACUCUGACAUGAAGCAGGCUUUCCUUACUGAGGAGUUAGCAACACUGCUAAGGGUGCAGAGCCACACAUGCGCUCCGAGCUCUGCAUGGGAGACUGAAGCUGACAGAGCUGCAGCAGUUAGCAGGUUUCACCCUCAGAGACCACCAGGGGUUCAUGUUGAGGCAUUUUCAGUUUUUUUUUUUUUUUUUUUGCCAUAGACACUGUCAGCACAAUCUGCAGUUACACUAACAAAAAUGCUGCAAAAAACAAAGAAUUAUGGAAAAAUUACACAUGGACUAACAUAGAGGAGGAUCUACACAAGUUUUUUACAUCAUGUUUUACAUCAUGCAUCAUUUACAUCAUGUUUUUUUGUAGUGGCAUAAAUAAAAAGUGACAUUUGUGAGACUAUACAGUGUUUUGUAAAUAAUUUUACAAAGAACACCUGGGCCAUUGCCUGCAUUUUGAUGUCAAUAGAGGUAAAUUACUAUGUUCUUUGUUAAAAAUUUGCAUAUGUUUUGAAGUUUACAAUUUUUAUUUGAAGUUUAAGUUUUAAAAACAGUUCAUCACACAUAUUUGUGGUUUUCACAGUAAAAACGUUACUUUUUUCCACUCGGAUUUUAUGUUUUGUGUGUGAAUUUGGGUCCAAUGUGUAAAUAUAGUAUGUCAAAAUGAUAAAAUAACUGUAAAUUGACACAGGUGAGGUUGUGCUGAAAAAAAAUGAUACCAGGCAAGGCAAGGUAAAAAUUUUGUAAGAGGAAAUAUAAAGGUAAAAUCUAAAGUAGUCAAAAACGGCCAAUAGUGACUCACAGACUCCACAGACAAGUCCCUUUGGCGCCACUCAGUGGGCAAAACUACUUUGUCUACUGUAAUGUAUAUUUGGGUCAUCUUUGGCGCCCCCUAAAACGUAAACCGUGGGGUGCAGCAUCAUGAUUUUUACAACUUUGAAUGGCCAUGGAGUGUAGAUUGGCCUGAGCAAAUUUGGUGUCAGUGGGACGAAGGCCUUAGGAGGAGUUAGCGAAAUUCCAAUGUGUGCGAAUUGGCAAAAAAUGCAAAAUAGCCCUUUUACCGUACAUUAUACAGAUACGCGCUCUUUGACUUUUUCGUAGAUCUAAUUGAGAUACACAUGAUUGUCAAUUUUUGUGUCAUUUUGCCAAAGCGUACAGGCGUGACAGUCAACAAUGUGUAUUUUCACCUUAGGGGACAAGAAAAAAUGGACUUUUUUCUCCUGCCAUGGGGGGGCGCUCUUUUAGGGAGUAAAAAUUCCUUCACAAAUGUGUUGAUGGCUGGACAUUGCAUCAUCCUAGAAAACUUGGAGGCCAGUGAGGACAAAAAAUAAAAAGUUAAAAGACUUUUAAAAAUGUGGAUUUUUGGGUUAUCUUUGGCGCCCCCUAGAACGUAAACCGUGGGGUGCAGCGUCAUGAUUUGAAUAACUUUUAAUGGCCAUGGGGUGUAAUUUGGCCUGAGCAAAUGUGGUGCCGGUGGAACGAAAGCCUUCGGAGGAGUUAGCGAAAUUCCAAUGUGUGCGAAUCGGCAAAAAAUGCGGAAUAACCCUUUAACCGUACAUUAGACAGAUACGCGCGCAUUGACUUUUUUGUAGAUCUUCUUGAGAUACAUGUGUGUGUCAAUUUUUGUGUCAUUUUGCCAAAGCGUACAGGCGUAACACUCAACAAUGUGUAUUUUCACCUUAGGGGACAAGAAAAAAUGGACUUUUUUCUCCUGCCAUGGGGGGGCGCUCUUUUGGGGAGUAAAAAUUCCUUCACAAAUGUGUUGAUGGCUGGACAUUGCAUCAUCCUAGAAAACUUGGAGGCCAGUGAGGACAAAAAUAAAAAGUUAUAAGACUUUUAAAUAUGUGGAUUUUAGGGUUAUCUUUGGCGCCCCCUAGAACCUAAACCGUGGGGUGCAGCGUCAUGAUUUGAAUAACUUUUAAUGGCCAUGGGGUGUAGAUUGGCCUGAGCAAAUGUGGUGCCGGUGGAACGAAAGCCUUCGGAGGAGUUAGCGAAAUUCCAAUGUGUGCGGAUCGGCAAAAAAUGCGCAAUAACCCUUUAACCGUACAUUUGACAGAUACGCCCGCACUGACUUUUUUGUAGAUCUUAUUGAGAUACAUGUGUGUGUCAAUUUUUGUGUCAUUUUGACAAAGCGUACAGGCGUCAGGUGAAUUUUUCACCUUAGGGGGCGCUAUGGAGCCAUUUUGCAUUGUAUUGUUUGGGCGACUUCAGAAUAUCAAAUUUUUCACCAGGCCCGGUCGUCCUGCCAAAUUUCAUGAGUUUUCGCCAGUGGGAAGUGGGCCAUUUUCCAGUUCAAAGGGGAGGAAAAAGAAAAAAGAAACAAAGAAAAACCACUUGGGGAAUAAUAGGGCUCUCGCAGCUGCUUAGCAGCUACGCUCGGGCCCUAACUAGGGCCCCGGUGGGGCACUGUCGGGCCCGAGCCGCGUCGCGCCGCCCCCAGUGCGACCGCCUCCCCGUCCCGAUCGAGUCACACUCAAGAACCAAAGAUGGUGUGCGCACUUGUCUGUGGUCAUUUCCCAUUAUAAUGAAUGGGAGGCGCAGUUUCUACCAAAACACUCGCUGCAGACAAACUUCAUGUCCUAUUUGAAAAAAGUCUGGACCAUGAGUGAGGGCACAAACACAGCUAUGAUAUAUCGAAAUGCCAGGUUGCUCCUCCUUACGGUGUUGCCUGGAGAGCGAUGCGAUUGAGCCAUUGAGCGAUGGGCAGGAAAAACUUGACUUUUUCUCCUGCCAUGGGGGGGGGAUGUGGAUUCUUUUAAGAAUGUGGAUUUUUGGGUCCUCUUUGGCGCCCCCUAGAACGUAAACCGUGGGGUGCAGCGUCAUGAUUUUUACAACUUUGAAUGGCCAUGGGGUGUAGAUUGGCCUGAGCAAAUUUGGUGUCAGUGGGACGAAAGCCUUAGGAGGAGUUAGCGAAAUUCCAAUGUGUGCGAAUCGGCAAAAAAUGAAAAAUAGCCCUUUAACCGUACAUUUGACAGAUACGCGCGAAUUGACUUUUUUGUAGAUCUUAUUGAGAUACAUAUGUGUGUCAAUUUUUGUGUCAAUAUGAUUAAGCGUACAGGCGUGACAGUCAAUAGUGUGAAUUUCCACCUUAGGGGACAAGAAAAAAUUGACUUUUUUCUCCUGCCAUGGGGGGGCGCUCUUUUGGGGAGUAAAAAUUCCUUCACAAAUGUGUUGAUGGCUGGACAUUGCAUCAUCCUAGAAAACUUGGAGGCCAGUGAGGACAAAAAUAAAAAGUUAUAAGACUUUUAAAAAUGUGGAUUUUAGGGUUAUCUUUGGCGCCCCCUAGAACCUAAACCGUGGGAUGCAGCGUCAUGAUUUGAAUAACUUUUAAUGGCCAUGGGGUGUAGAUUGGCCUGAGCAAAUGUGGUGCCGGUGGAACGAAAGCCUUCGGAGGAGUUAGCGAAAUUCCAAUGUGUGCGGAUCGGCAAAAAAUGCGGAAUAACCCUUUAACCGUACAUUUGACAGAUACGCGCGCAUUGACUUUUUCGUAGAUCUUAUUGAGAUACAUGUGUGUGUCAAUUUUUGUGUCAUUUUGCCAAAGCGUACAGGUGUUACACUCAACAAUGUGUAUUUUCACCUUAGGGGACAAGAAAAAAUUGACUUUUUUCUCCUGCCAUGGGGGGGCGCUCUUUUGGGGAGUAAAAAUUCCUUCACAAAUGUGUUGAUGGCUGGACAUUGCAUCAUCUUAGAAAACUUGGAGGCCAGUGAGGACAAAAAUAAAAAGUUAUAAGACUUUUAAAUAUGUGGAUUUUAGUGUUAUCUUUGGCGCCCCCUAGAACCUAAACCUUGGGGUGCAGCGUCAUGAUUUUGAUAACUUUUAAUGGCCACGGGGUGUAGAUUGGCCUGAGCAAAUGUGGUGCCGGUGGAACGAAAGCCUUCGGAGGAGUUAGCGAAAUUCCAAUGUGUGCGGAUCGGCAAAAAAUGCGAAAUAACCCUUUAACCGUAAUUUUGACAGAUACGGCCGCACUGACUUUUUUGUAGAUCUUAUUGAGAUACAUAUGUGUGUCAAUUUUUGUGUCAAUAUGACAAAGCGUACAGGCGUGACAGUCAAUAGUGUGAAUUUCCACCUUAGGGGGCGCUAUGGAGCCAUUUUGCAUUUUAUUGUUUGGGCGACUUCAGAAUAUCGAAUUUUUCACCAGGCCCGGUCGUCCUGCCAAAUUUCAUGAGUUUUCGCCAGUGGGAAGUGGGCCAUUUUCCAGUUCAAAGGGGAGGAAAAAGAAGAAAGAAAGAAAGAACUAGGGCCCCGUUGGGGCACUGGCGGGCCCGAGCCGUGUCGUGCCGCCCCCAGCGAGACCGCCUUCCCGUCCCAUUUGCGUCCUCUGGUUGUCGCCCUCUCUGGUAACGCCCAUCACUGCAAAGACCCUUUUCCUUCAUCGGUGUUUGCUGUUCUUCCUGCCAGUGCGUGUUGCUUUCACUUACACUUGCCACAGCCAGCCUCGUGAGUGCCUAGCCUAUUGGAUACCACUGUCACCUACACAGGACAGUCAUUACCUUUCUAUUAAUACUUUGUUUUUAAUUUCACAUUAAUUUCCAUAUUGUAUAAAUGACUGGAAAAAACUUGAGCCCCUGCCCCUGUAUAAUCAUGUGCACGUCCCUGUUCUAGCUCCAAGGUGAAUCUUCACUGCUCAUGUUCUCCUCAGAAGCAGUCACCUCACUCCCCUCAGGUUACUGUACACAUGCACCAACUGCCUGAUUCAGGUUUGGAUGGAGCUUCAUGGUUGUCUUUUGGAGAAAUGAGCAGUCAAGUUGUGUUUGAAAUUUGAUUUUUUUCAGGGGCAAAAGGAGCCUCUGUAUUCUUGAGAGUCUGAGUGUGUGUGUGUGUGUGUGUGUGUGUGUGUCCUGCAGUACUCUGAGAAGAAUAAUAAGCAUAUUUCUGAGGUGAAUUUUGAAGAUUCAUCUGAGAGUUAGGAGGGCUGAUCAUUCCCUUACCCUUUAGAUGUCUGUCUAUGUCUGUUUUUGUGUGAUAAUGAAAGAAUCCCAACUCAAAAAGGCUCUGUUGAUGUUUUUUUUUUGUUGUUCAUUCAUAUUCAAACCACUAUUUUAUAUCACUGCUAAUACGCCAAGACCAUUUUAUGGUAUUUAGCUUUAUUAUUUCUAUACAUUUUGCAAGGAAAGAAACCAAGGCCUUCACUAAAAUUUCCAUAAACUUUAGGAAAGGACCUCUGGUUGUUUAAGGGGGUCAUUACUGCAAAAACAUAUUCUUCCUAAAUUUUGAAGGUCAAAGCUUAGAUCCAUUAGGUUUAAAUAGAAAAAGCAUUUAAAUAUGUUAGGAUUAUAGCAUAUGACAAAUGUGUGCCUCUCAGUGGCCAUAACUACUUUGUCUGCUGGCUCUGCAGUCGAUUGACGUUCCCCAGCGUUCAAGUCACAUGACAUAUUUAACCGGAUGUAGCAGCAAGACGGAGCCUCGUUGAUUCUCCGUUUCAACCUAUCUUAAAAGUGAGGACCUCAAACUAUAUACCAGUUUUUAAAUUGUGUUGAUAGGCCAGAUAAAACCAGAGUUAUGAUAAAUUAUGUCUGCGAUACUUUUUUUCUACUUAUUUUGAUCACGUUCGGCGCUCGAUCGCGCUCUAUGAGACAGGAAAACAUAGCAUGCAGACAUUAGCGACAGCUCUUACAGGCGGAAAAGACUUGCCAAAAGAAAAGAAAAAAAACACACCACAACAUCUCUCCUAUUGUUGGAAAACUUCACCACAACAACCAAUCCAAAAUUAUAUGGUGACUGAUUGACAAGGGGCGGGCGCUCGCGUUCUUCCUGCAACUUGAGAAGGGAGGGAGGGACUCUCAGCAGGGAUGCAGUCUGGGACACGUAGUUGCAAACCUAGCGACUUUGUUGUUAGAUUCAAUGACUUUUCAGACCCCCUAAUGACUUUUUUUUUAGAAAGAAAGGGACUUUUAUCGACUUCUUCUGGAGUUCUGGAGUUUAGAGACUCUGACAUGAAGCAGGCUUUCCUUACUGAGGAGUUAGCAACGCUGCUAAGGGUGCAGAGCCACACAUGCGCUCCGAGCUCUGCAUGGGAGACUGAAGCUGACAGAGCUGCAGCAGUUAGCAGGUAUCACCCUCAGAGACCACCAGGGGUUCAUGUUGAGGCAUUUUCAGUUUUUUUUUUUUUUUGCCAUAGACACUGUCAGCACAAUCUGCAGUUACACUAACAAAAAUGCUGCAAAAAACAAAGAAUUAUGGAAAAAUUACACAUGGACUGACAUAGAGGAGGAUCUACACAAGUUUUUUACAUCAUGUUUUACAUCAUGCAUCAUUUACAUCAUGUUUUUUUGUAGUGGCAUAAAUAAAAAGUGACAUUUGUGAGACUAUACAGUGUUUUGUAAAUAAUUUUACAAAGAACGCCUGGGCCAUUGCCUGCAUUUUGAUGUAAAUAGAGGUAAAUUACUAUGUUCUUUGUUAAAAAUUUGCAUAUGUUUUGAAGUUUACAAUUUUUAUUUGAAGUUUAAGUUUUAAAAACAGUUCAUCACACAUAUUUGUGGUUUUCACAGUAAAAACGUUACUUUUUUCCACUCGGAUUUUAUGUUUUGUGUGUGAAUUUGGGUCCAAUGUGUAAAUAUAGUUUGUCAAAAUGAUAAAAUAACUGUAAAUUGACACAGGUGAGGUUGUGCUGAAAAAAAUGAUACCAGGCAAGGCAAGGUAAAAAUUUUGUAAGAGGAAAUAUAAAGGUAAAAUCUAAAGUAGUCAAAAACGGCCAAUAGUGACUCACAGACUCCACAGACAAGUCCCUUUGGCGCCACUCAGUGGGCAAAACUACUUUGUCUACUGUAAUGUAUAUUUGGGUCAUCUUUGGCGCCCCCUAAAACGUAAACCGUGGGGUGCAGCGUCAUGAUUUUUACAACUUUGAAUGGCCAUGGAGUGUAGAUUGGCCUGAGCAAAUUUGGUGUCAGUGGGACGAAAGCCUUCGGAGGAGUUAGCGAAAUUCCAAUGUGUGCGAAUCGCCAAAAAAUGCAAAAUAGCCCUUUAACUGUACAUUUUACACUUACGUGCCCAUUGACUUUUUCAUAGAUCUUAUUGAGAUACACGUGAUUGUCAAUUUUUUUGUCAAUAUGACAAAGCGUAAAGGCGUGACACUCAACAACGUGUAUUUUCACCUUUCGGGACAAGAAAAAAUGGACUUUUUUCUCCUGCCAUGGGGGGGGCGCUCUUUUGGGGAGUAAAAAUUUCUUCACAAAUGUGUUGAUGGCUGGACAUUGCAUCAUCCUAAAAAACUUGGAGGCCAGUAUGGAAAAAGAUAAAAAGUUAUAAGACUUUUAAGAAUGUGGAUUUUUGGGUUAUAUUUGGUGCCCCCUAGAACCCAAACCGUGGGGUGCAGCAAGAUGAUUUGUACAACUUUUAAUGGCCAUGGGGUGUAGAUUGGCCUGAGCAAAUUUGGUGCCGGUGGAAAGAUAGCCUUCGGAGGAGUUAGCGAAAUUCCAAUGUGUGCGGAUCGGCAAAAAAUGCAAAAUAGCCCUUUAACCGUACAUUUGACAGAUACAUGCCCUUUGACUUUUUCGUAGAUCUUAUUGAGAUACACGUGAUUGUCAAAUUUUGUGUCAAUAUGACAAAGCAUACAGGCGUGACACUCGACAAUAUGUAUUUUCACCUUAGGAGACAAGAAAAAAUUGACCUUUUUCUCCUGCCAUUGGGGGGCGCUCUUUUGUGGAGUAAAAAUUCCUUCACAAAUGUGUUGAUGGCUGGACAUUGCAUCAUCCUAGAAAACUUGGAGGCCAGUGAGGACAAAAGUAAAAAGUUAUAAGACUUUUAAGAAUGUGGAUUUUUGGGUUAUCUUUGGCGCCCCCUAGAACGUAAACCGUGGGGUGCAGCGUCAUGAUUUGUACAACUUUUAAUGGCCAUGGGGGGUAGAUUGGCCUGAGCAAAUGUGGUGCCAGUGGAACGAAAGCCUUCGGAGGAGUUAGCGAAAUUCCAAUGUGUGUGGAUCGGCAAAAAAUGCGGAAGAACCCUUUAACCGUACAUUUGACAGAUACGCCCGCACUGACUUUUUUGUAGAUCUUAUUGAGAUACACGUGUGUGUCAAUUUUUGUGUCAAUAUGACAAAGCGUACAGCCGUCAUGUGAAUUUUCACCUUGGGGGGCGCUAUGGAGCCAUUUUGCAUUUUAUUGUUUGGGCGACUUCAGAAUAUCGAAUUUUUCACCAGGCCCGGUCGUCCUGCCAAAUUUCCUGAGUUUUCGCCAGUGGGAAGUGGGCCAUUUUCCAGUUUAAAGCGGAGGAAAAAUAAUAACGAAAGAAGGAAACAUGCAGGAACAAGAGGGCUCUCGCAGCUGCUUAGCAGCUACGCUCGGGCCCUAAAGAAAGAAACAAAGAAAAACCACUUGGGGAAUAAUGGGGCCUACGCCCGGCUGCUCUGCAGCUGGCUCGGGCCCUAACUAGGGCCCCGGUGGGGCACUGUCGGGCCCGAGCCGCGUCGCGCCGCCCCCAGUGCGACCGCCUCCCCGUCCCGAUCGAGUCACACUCAAGAACCAAAGAUGGUGUGCGCACUUGUCUGUGGUCAUUUCCCAUUAUAAUGAAUGGGAGGCGCAGUUUCUACCAAAACACUCGCUGCAGACAAACUUCAUGUCCUAUUUGAAAAAAGUCUGGACCAUGAGUGAGGGCACAAACACAGCUAUGAUAUAUCGAAAUGCCAGGUUGCUCCUCCUUACGGUGUUGCCUGGAGAGCGAUGCGAUUGAGCCAUUGAGCGAUGGGCAGGAAAAACUUGACUUUUUCUCCUGCCAUAGGGGGGGGGAUGUGGAUUCUUUUAAGAAUGUGGAUUUUUGGGUCAUUUUUGGCGCCCCCUAGAACGUAAACCGUGGGGUGCAUCGUCAUGAUUUUUACAACUUUGAAUGGCCAUGGGGUGUAGAUUGGCCUGAGCAAAUUUGGUGUCAGUGGGACGAAAGCCUUAGGAGGAGUUAGCCACAUUCCAAUGUGUGCGAAUCGGCAAAAAAUGCAAAAUAGCCCUUUAACCGUACAUUUGACAGAUACACGCGCAUUGACUUUUUUGUAGAUCUUAUUGAGAUACAUAUGUGUGUCAAUUUUUGUGUCAAUAUGAUAAAGCGUACAGGCGUGACAGUCAAUAGUGUGAAUUUCCACCUUAGGGGACAAGAAAAAAUUGACUUUUUUCUCCUGCCAUGGGGGGGCGCUCUUUUGGGGAGUAAAAAUUCCUUCACAAAUGUGUUGAUGGCUGGACAUUGCAUCAUCCUAGAAAACUUGGAGGCCAGUGAGGACAAAAAUAAAAAGUUAUAAGACUUUUAAAUAUGUGGAUUUUAGGGUUAUCUUUGGCGCCCCCUAGAACCUAAACCGUGGGAUGCAGCGUCAUGAUUUGAAUAACUUUUAAUGGCCAUGGGGUGUAGAUUGGCCUGAGCAAAUGUGGUGCCGGUGGAACGAAAGCCUUCGGAGGAGUUAGCGAAAUUCCAAUGUGUGCGGAUCGGCAAAAAAUGCGGAAUAACCCUUUAACCGUACAUUUGACAGAUACGCGCGCAUUGACUUUUUCGUAGAUCUUAUUGAGAUACAUGUGUGUGUCAAUUUUUGUGUCAUUUUGCCAAAGCGUACAGGUGUUACACUCAACAAUGUGUAUUUUCACCUUAGGGGACAAGAAAAAAUGGACUUUUUUCUCCUGCCAUGGGGGGGCGCUCUUUUGGGGAGUAAAAAUUCCUUCACAAAUGUGUUGAUGGCUGGACAUUGCAUCAUCCUAGAAAACUUGGAGGCCAGUGAGGGCAAAAAUAAAAAGUUAUAAGACUUUUAAAUAUGUGGAUCUUAGGGUUAUCUUUGGCGCCCCCUAGAACCUAAACCUUGGGGUGCAGCGUCAUGAUUUGAAUAACUUUUAAUGGCCAUGGGGUGUAGAUUGGCCUGAGCAAAUGUGGUGCUGGUGGAACGAAAGCCUUCGGAGGAGUUAGCGAAAUUCCAAUGUGUGCGGAUCGGCAAAAAAUGCGAAAUAACCCUUUAACCGUACAUUUGACAGAUACGCCCGCACUGACUUUUUUGUAGAUCUUACUGAGAUACAUGUGUGUGUCAAUUUUUGUGUCAUUUUGACAAAGCGUACAGGCGUGACAGUCAAUAGUGUGAAUUUUCACCUUAGGGGGCGCUAUGGAGCCAUUUUGCAUUUUCUUGUUUGGGCGACUUCGGAAUAUCAAAUUUUUCACCAGGCCCGGUCGUCCUGCCAAAUUUCAUGAGUUUUCGCGGGUGGGAAGUGGGCCAUUUUCCAGUUCAAAGGGGAGGAAAAAUAACUAGGGCCCCGUUGGGGCACUGGCGGGCCCGAGCUGUGUCACGCCGCCCCCAACACGACCGCCUCUCCCUCCCGAUCGCGUCACACUCAAGGUUCAACGAUGGUGUGCGCACUUGUCUGUGGUCAUUUACCAUUAUAAUGAAUGGGAGGCGCAGUUUCUACCAAAACGCUUGCUGCAGACAAACUACAUGUCCUAUUUGAAAAAAGUCUGGACCAUGAGUGAGGGCACAAACACAGCUAGGAUAUAUCCAAAUGGCAAGUUCCUCCUCCUUUCGUUUUUUUCCGAGAGAGCGAUGUGUUUGAGCCAUUGAGCGAUGGGCAGGAAAAACUUGACUUUUUCUCCUGCCAUGGGGGGGCACUCUUUUAGGGAGAAAAAUUCCUUCACAAAUGUGUUGAUGGCUAGACAUUGCAUCAUCCUAGAAAACUUUGAAGCCAGUGAGGACAAAAAUGAAAAGUUAUAAGACUUUUAAGAAUGUGGAUUUUUGGGUUAUCUUUGGCGACCCCUAGAACGUAAACCGUGGGGUGCAGCAUCAUGAUUUGUACAACUUUGAAUGGCCAUGGGGUGUAGAUUGGCCUGAGCAAAUUUGGUGCCGGUGGAACGAAAGCUUUAGGAGGAGUUAGCCACAUUCCAAUGUGAGCGAAUCAACCAAAAAUGCGAAAUAGCCCUUUAACCGUACAUUUUGCAGACACGUGCGCAUUGACUUUUUCGUAGAUCUUAUUGAGAUACACGUGUUUAUCAAAUUUUGUUUCAAUAUGACAAAGCGUACAGGCGUGACACUCAACAAUGUGUAUUUUCACCUUAUAGGACAAGAAAAAAUGGCCUUUUUUCUCCUGCCAUGGGGGGGCGCUCUUUUGGGGAGUAAAAAUUCCUUCACAAAUGUGUUGAUGGCUGGACAUUGCAUCAUCCUAGAAAACUUGGAGGCCAGUGAGGACAGAAAUAAAAAGUUAUAAGACUUGUAAGAAUGUGGAUUUUUGGGUUAUCUUUGGCGCCCCCUACAACGUAAACCGUGGGGUGCAGCGUCAUGAUUUGUACAACUUUGAAUGGCCAUGGGGUGUAGAUUGGCCUGAGCAAAUUUGGUGCCGGUGGAACGAAAGCUUUAGGAGGAGUUAGCCACAUUCCAAUGUGUGCGAAUCAACCAAAAAUGCGAAAUAGCCCUUUAACCGUACAUUUUGCAGACACGUGCGCAUUGACUUUUUCGUAGAUCUUAUUGAGAUACACGUGAUUAUCAAAUUUUGUUUCAAUAUGACAAAGCGUACAGGCGUGACACUCAACAAUGUGUAUUUUCACCUUAUAGGACAAGAAAAAAUGGCCUUUUUUCUCCUGCCAUGGGGGGGCGCUCUUUUGGGGAGUAAAAAUUCCUUCACAAAUGUGUUGAUGGCUGGACAUUGCAUCAUCCUAGAAAACUUGGAGGCCAGUGAGGACAGAAAUAAAAAGUUAUAAGACUUGUAAGAAUGUGGAUUUUUGGGUUAUCUUUGGCGCCCCCUACAACGUAAACCGUGGGGUGCAGCGUCAUGAUUUGUACAACUUUGAAUGGCCAUGGGGUGUAGAUUGGCCUGAGCAAAUUUGGUGCCGGUGGAACGAAAGCUUUAGGAGGAGUUAGCCACAUUCCAAUGUGUGCGAAUCAACCAAAAAUGCGAAAUAGCCCUUUAACCGUACAUUUUGCAGACACGUGCGCAUUGACUUUUUCGUAGAUCUUAUUGAGAUACACGUGAUUAUCAAAUUUUGUUUCAAUAUGACAAAGCGUACAGGCGUGACACUCAACAAUGUGUAUUUUCACCUUAUAGGACAAGAAAAAAUGGCCUUUUUUCUCCUGCCAUGGGGGGGCGCUCUUUUGGGGAGUAAAAAUUCCUUCACAAAUGUGUUGAUGGCUGGACAUUGCAUCAUCCUAGAAAACUUGGAGGCCAGUGAGGACAGAAAUAAAAAGUUAUAAGACUUGUAAGAAUGUGGAUUUUUGGGUUAUCUUUGGCGCCCCCUACAACGUAAACCGUGGGGUGCAGCGUCAUGAUUUGUACAACUUUGAAUGGCCAUGGGGUGUAGAUUGGCCUGAGCAAAUUUGGUGCCGGUGGAACGAAAGCCUUCGGAGGAGUUAGCGAAAUUCCAAUGUGUGCGGAUCGGCAAAAAAUGCGAAAUAGCCCUUUAAACGUACAUUUGACAGAUUCUCCCGCACUGACUUUUUUGUAGAUCUGAUUGAGAUACACGUGUGUGUCAAAUUUUGUGUCAUUUUGACAAAACGUACAGGCGUGACACUCAAUCAUGUGAAUUUUUCACCUUAGGGGGCGCUAUGGAGCCAUUUUGCAUUUGAUUGUUUGGGUGACUUCAGAAUAUCGAAUUUUUCACCAGGCCCGGUCGUCCUGCCAAAUUUCAUGAGUUUUCACCAGUGGGAAGUGGGCCAUUUUCCAGUUCAAAGGGGCAGAAAAAUAAUAAUAAUAAGACUAGGGCCCCGGUGGGGCACUGUCGGGCCCGAGCCGCGUUGCGCCGCCCCCAGCGCGACCGCCUCCCCCUCCCGAUCGCGUCACACUCAAGGUCCAAAGAUGGUGUGCGCACUUGUCUGUGGUCAUUUCCCAUUAUAAUGAAUGGGAGGCGCAGUUUCUACCAAAACACUCGCUGCAGACAAACUACAUGUCCUAUUUGAAAAAAGUCUGAUCCAUGAGUGAGGGCACAAACACAGCUAGGAUAUAUCCAAAUGGCAAGUUGCUCCUCCUUUCGGAGGAGUUUGAACACAUGACAUGUGUUUGAGCCAUUGAGCGAUGGGCAGGAAAAACUUGACUUUUUCUCCUGCCAUGGGGGGGGCGCUCUUUUGGGGAGUAAAAAUUCCUUCACAAAUGUGUUGAUGGCUAGACAUUGCAUCAUCCUAGAAAACUUGGAAGCCAGUGAGGACAAAAAUGAAAAGUUAUAAGACUUUUAAGAAUGUGGAUAUUUGGGUUAUCUUUGGCGCCCCCUAGAACGUAAACCGUGGGGUGCAGCGUCAUGAUUUGUACAACUUUUAAUGGCCAUGGGGUGUAGAUUGGCCUGAGCAAAUGUGGUGCCGGUGGAACGAAAGCUUUAGGAGGGGUUAGCCACAUUCCAAUGUGUGCGAAUCGAUCAAAAAUGCGUAAUAGCCCUUUAACCGUACAUUUUACAGAUACGUGCGCAUUGACUUUUUCGUAGAUCUUAUUGAGAUACACGUGAUUGUCAAAUUUUGUUUCAAUAUGACAAAGCGUACAGGCGUGACACUCAACAAUGUGUAUUUUCACCUUAUGGGACAAGAAAAAAUGGACUUUUUUCUCCUGCCAUGGGGGGCGCUCUUUUGGGGAGUAAAAAUUCCUUCACAAAUGUGUUGAUGGCUGGACAUUGCAUCAUCCUAGAAAACUUGGAGGCCAGUGAGGACAAAAAUAAAAAGUUAUAAGACUUUUAAGACUGUGGAUUUUUGGGUUAUUUUUGGCGCCCCCUAGAACGUAAACCGUGGGGUGCAGCGUCAUGAUUUGUACAACUUUUAAUGGCCAUGGGGUGUAGAUUGGCCUGAGCAAAUGUGGUGCCGGUGGAACGAAAGCCUUCGGAGGAGUUAGCGAAAUUCCAAUGUGUGCGGUUCCGCAAAAAAUGCAAAAUAGCCCUUUAACCGUACAUUUGACAGAUACGUGCGCAUAUACUUUUUUGUAGAUCUUAUUGAGAUACACGUGUGUGUCAAAUUUUAUGUCAAUAUGACAAAGCGUAUAGGCGUGACACUCAACAAUAUGUAUUUUCACCUUAGGGGACAAGAAAAAAUGGACUUUUUUCUCCUGCCAUGGGGGGGCGCUCUUUUGGGGAGUAAAAAUUCCUUCACAAAUGUGUUGAUGGCUGGUCAUUGCAUCAUCCUAGAAAACUUGGAGGCCAGUGAGGGCAAAAAUAAAAAGUUAUUAGACUUUUAAGAAUGUGGAUUUUUGGGUUAUCUUUGGCGCCCCCUAGAACGUAAACCGUGGGGUGCAGCGUCAUGAUUUGUACAACUUUGAAUGGCCAUGGGGUGUAGAUUGGCCUGAGCAAAUGUGGUGCCGGUGGAACGAAAGCCUUCGGAGGAGUUAGCGAAAUUCCACUGUGUGCGGAUCGGCAAAAAAUGCGAAAUAGCCCUUUAACCGUACAUUUGACAGAUACGCCCGCACUGACUUUUUUGUAGAUCUUAUUGAGAUACACGUGUGUGUCAAAUUUUGUGUCAUUUUGACAAAGCGUACAGGUGUGACACUCAAUCAUGUGAAUUUUUCACCUUAGGGGGCGCUAUGGAGCCAUUUUGAAUUUGAUUGUUUGGGCGACUUCAGAAUAUCGAAUUUUUCACCAGGCCCGGUCGUCCUGCCAAAUUUCAUGAGUUUUCACCAGUGGGAAGUGGGCCAUUUUCCAGUUCAAAGGGGCAGAAAAAUAAUAACUAGGGCCCCGUUGGGGCACUGGCGGGCCCGAGCCGUGUCGCGCCGCCCCCAACACGACCGCCUCUCCCUACCGAUCGCGUCACACUCAAGGUCCAAAGAUGGUGUGCGCACUUGUCUGUGGUCAUUUACAAUUAUAAUGAAUGGGAGGCGCAGUUUCUACCAAAACGCUCGCCGCAGACAAACUCCAUGUCCUAUUUGAAAAGGACUGGACCAUGAGUGAGGGCACAAACACAGCUAGGAUAUAUCCAAAUGGCAAGUUGCUCCUCCUUUCGGUUUUGCCGAGAGAGCGAUGUGUUUGAGUCAUUGAGCGAUGGGCAGGAAAAACUUGACUUUUUCUCCUGCCAUGGGGGGGCGCUCUUUUAGGGAGUAAAAAUUCCUUCACAAAUGUGUUGAUGGCUAGACAUUGCAUCAUCCUAGAAAACUUGGAGGCCAGUGAGGACAAAAAUAAAAAGUUAUAAGACUUUUAAGAAUGUGGAUUUUUGGGUUAUCUUUGGCGCCCCCUAGAACAUAAACCGUGGGGUGCAGCGUCAUGAUUUUUACAACUUUGAAUGGCCAUGGAAUGUAGAUUGGCCUGAGUAAAUUUGGUGUCAGUGGAACGAAAUAUUUAGGAGGAGUUAGCCACAUUCCAAUGUGUGCGAAUCGACCAAAAAUGCGAAAUAGCCCUUUAACCGUACAUUUUACAGAUACGCGCCCAUUGACUAUUUCGUAGAUCUUAUUGAGAAACACGUGAUUGUCAAAGUUUGUUACAAUAUGACAAAGCGUACAGGCGUGACACUCAAUAAUGUGAAUUUUCACCUUAGGGGGAAGAAAAACUGGACUUUUUUCUCCUGCCAUGGGGGGGCGCUCUUUUGGGGAGUAAAAAUUCCUUCACAAAUGUGUUGAUGGCUAGACAUUGCAUCAUCCUAGAAAACUUGGAGGCCAGUGAGGACAAAAAUAAAAAGUUAUACGACUUUUAAGAAUGUGGAUUUCUGGGUUAUCUUUGGCGCCCCCUAGAACGUAAACCGUGGGAUGCAGCGUCAUGAUUUGUACAACUUUUAAUGGCCAUGGGGUGUAGAUUGGCCUGAGCAAAUUUGGUGCCGGUGGAACGAAAGCCUUCGGAGGAGUUAGCGAAAUUCCAAUGUGUGCGGAUCGGCAAAAAAUGCGAAAUAGCCCUUUAACCGUACAUUUGACAGAUACGCCCGCACUGACUUUUUUGUAGAUCUUAUUGAGAUACACGUGUGUGUCAAAUUUUGUGUCAUUUUGACAAAGCGUACAGGCGUGACACUCAAUCAUGUGAAUUUUUCACCUUAGGGGGCGCUAUGGAGCCAUUUUGCAUUUGAUUUUUUGGGCGACUUCAGAAUAUCGAAUUUUUCACCAGGCCCGGUCGUCCUGCCAAAUUUCAUGACUUUUCACCAGUGGGAAGUGGGCCAUUUUCCAGUUCAAAGGGGCAGAAAAAUAAUAAGAAGACUAGGGCCCCGGUGGGGCACUGGCGGGCCCGAGCCGUGUCACGCCGCCCCCAGCGCGACCGCCUCCCCCUCCCGAUCGCGUCACACUCAAGGUCCAAAGAUGGUGUGCGCACUUGUCUGUGGUCAUUUACCAUUAUAAUGAAUGGGAGGCGCAGUUUCUACCAAAACGCUCGCUGCAGACAAACUCCAUGUCCUUUUUGAAAAAAGUCUGGACCAUGAGUGAGGGCACAAACACAGCUAGUAUAUAUCCAAAUGGCAAGUUGCUCCUCCUUUCGGUUUUGCCGAGAGAGCGAUGCGUUUGAGCCAUUGAGCGAUGGGCAGGAAAAACUUGACUUUUUCUCCUGCCAUGGGGGGGCGCUCUUUUGGGGAGAAAAAAUUCCUUCACAAAUGUGUUGAUGGCUGGACAUUGCAUCAUCCUAGAAAACUUGGAGGCCAGUGAGGACAAAAAUAAAAAGUUAUAAGACUUUAAAAAUGUGGAUAUUUGGGUCCUCUUUGGCGCCCCCUAGAACGUAGACCAUAGGGUGCAGCGUCAUGAUUUUUACAACUUUGAAUGGCCAUGGGGUGUAGAUUGGCCUGAGCAAAUUUGGUGUCAGUGGGACGAAAGCCUUAGGAGGAGUUAGCCACAUUCCAAUGUGUGCGAAUCGGCAAAAAAUGCGAAAUAGCCCUUUAACCGUACAUUUGACAGAUACGCCUGCAUUGACUUUUUCGUAGAUCUUAUUGAGAUACACGUGAUUGUCAAAUUUUUUGUCAAUAUGACAAAGCGUACAGGCGUGACAUUCAACAAUGUGUAUUUUCACCUUAGGGGACAAGAAAAAAUUGACUUUUUUGUCCUGCCAUGGGGGGGCGCUCUUUUGGGGAGUAAAAAUUCCUUCACAAAUGUGUUGAUGGCUGGACAUUGCAUCAUCCUAGAAAACUUGGAGGCCAGUGAGGGCAAAAAUAAAAAGUUAUAAAACUUUUAAGAAUGUGGAUUUUAGGGUUAUUUUUGGCGCCCCCUAGAACCUAAACCAUGGGGUGCAGCAUCAUGAUUUGUACAACUUUGAAUGGCCAUGGAGUGUAGAUUGGCCUGAGCAAAUGUGGUGCCGGUGGACCGAAAGCCUUCGGAGGAGUUAGCGAAAUUCCAAUGUGUGCGGAUCUGCAAAAAAUGCGAAAUAACCCUUUAACCGUACAUUUGACAGAUACGCCCGCACUGACUUUUUUGUAGAUCUUAUUGAGAUACAUGUGUGUGUCAAUUUUUGUGUCAAUAUGACAAAGCGUACAGACGUGACAGUCAAUAGUGUGAAUUUUCACCUUAGGGGGCGCUAUGGAGCCAUUUUGUAUUUUAUUGUUUGGGCGACUUCAGAAUAUCGAAUUUUUCACCAGGCCCGGUCGUCCUGCCAAAUUUCCUGAGUUUUCGCCAGUGGGAAGUGGGCCAUUUUCCAGUUUAAAGCGGAGGAAAAAUAAUAAUAAUAACUAGGACCCCGUUGGGGCACUGGCGGGCCCGAGCCGUGUCGCGUCCCCCCCCCCCCCCCACCCCCCCACCCCCCAACAUGCUGCCUCCCCGUCCCAUUUGUGUCCUCUGGCCAUCGCCCUCUCUGGUAACGCCCAUCACUGCAAAGACCCUUUUCCUUCAUCGGCGUUUGCUGUUCUUCCUGCCAGUGCGUGUUGCUUUCACUUACACUUGCCACAGCCAGCCUCGUGAGUGCCUAGCCUAUUGGAUAUCACUGUCACCUACACAGGACAGUCAUUACCUUUCUAUUAAUACUUUGUGUUUUAAUUUCACAUUAAUUUCCAUAUUGUAUAAACGACUGGAAAAAACUUGAGCCCCUGCCCCUGUAUAAUCAUGUGCAUGUCUCUGUUCUAGCUCCAAGGUGAAUCUUCACUGCUCAUGUUCUCCUCAGAAGCACUCACCUCACUCCCCUCAGGUUACUGUACACAUGCACCAACUGCCUGCUUCAGGUUUGGAUGGAGCUUCAUGGUUGUCUUUUGGAGAAAUGACCAGUCAAGUUGUGUUUGAAAUUUGAUUUUUUUCAGGGGCAAAAGGAGCCUCUGCAUUCUUGUCAAAUAUGUAAAUAGCAUGUUUUUGCAGGUGCUAAAAACCAGACUCUGAGUGUGUGUGUGUGUGUGUGUGUGUGUGUGUGUGCGUGUGUGUGUGUCUGUGUGUGCGUUCAAGUCACAUGACAUAUUUAAUCGGAUGUAGCUGCAAGACGGAGCCUCGUUGACUCUCCGUUUCAACUUAUCUCAAAAGUGAGGACCUCAACCUAUAUACCAGUUUUUAAAUUGUGUUGAUAGGCCAAAUAAAACCAGAGUUAUGAUAAAUUAUGUCCGCGAUACUUUUUUUCUGCUUAUUUUGAUCACGUUCGGCGCUCGAUCGCGCUGUAUGAGACAGGAAAACAUAGCAUGCAGACAUUAGCGACAGGUCUUACAGGCGGAAAAGGCUUGCCAAAAGAAAAAAAAAACACACCACAACAUCUCUC